rnacentral:sRNA from 1 species
CUGAGCCAGCGACGCCCUCCAUUCACUCUCCGCGCCCGUUCUCCGGCUGUCCUCCCGUUCCGCUGCCCGCCCUGCCACCAUGACGGAACAGGCCAUCUCCUUCGCCAAGGACUUCUUGGCCGGAGGCAUCGCCGCCGCCAUCUCCAAGACGGCCGUGGCUCCGAUCGAGCGGGUCAAGCUGCUGCUGCAGCAGGGCGGGAUGUCCCAGCGCUUCGAGAGGCCCAGGGAGGAUCACGUGAGCUCAGGAGUUUGAGAGCAGCUUGGUCAUCGUAGCAAGACUCCAUCUCUAAAAGUCCAGCACGCCAGCAAGCAGAUCGCCGCCGACAAGCAGUACAAGGGCAUCGUGGACUGCAUUGUCCGCAUCCCCAAGGAGCAGGGCGUGCUGUCCUUCUGGAGGGGCAACCUUGCCAACGUCAUCCGCUACUUCCCCACUCAAGCCCUCAACUUCGCCUUCAAGGAUAAGUACAAGCAGAUCUUCCUGGGGGGCGUGGACAAGCACACGCAGUUCUGGAGGUACUUUGCGGGCAACCUGGCCUCCGGCGGUGCGGCCGGCGCGACCUCCCUCUGCUUUGUGUACCCGCUGGAUUUCGCCAGAACCCGCCUGGCAGCGGACGUGGGAAAGUCAGGCACAGAGCGCGAGUUCCGAGGCCUGGGAGACUGCCUGGUGAAGAUCACCAAGUCUGACGGCAUCCGGGGCCUGUACCAGGGCUUCAGCGUCUCCGUGCAGGGCAUCAUCAUCUACCGGGCGGCCUACUUCGGCGUGUAUGAUACGGCCAAGGGCAUGCUCCCGACCCCAAGAACACGCACAUCGUGGUGAGCUGGAUGAUUGGCCAGACCGUGACGGGCCUGGGCCG